rnacentral:rRNA from 1 species
CGGCCGCGGUACCCUGACCGUGCUAAGGUAGCAUAAUCCCUUGCCUCUUAAUUAGUGGCUAGUAUGAAUGGAUAAACGAAAAUUGAGCUGUCUCUAUAAAUUUCCUAAAAAUUGUCCUUUAAGCGAAGAGACUUAAAUAAGAAUAAAAGACAAGAAGACCCUGUAGAGCCUAAGCCAAACCCGUUAACAAAAAUAUAAAUAAAAAAUUUCUUCGGGCCGGCUUCAGUUGGGGCGACUAAAGAACACCUAAAGCUUCUUUACAAUCAACCAGGCAUAUCAGCCUAACUUAUGACCCAUAAAUUAUUGACCAAAAAACCAGGCUACCUCAGGGAUAACAGUCUAAUCUUCCUAGAGAGCCCAAAUUGACAGGAAGGAUUGGCACCUCGAUGUUGGCUUAGGGGCCCUUCAAGGCGCAGCCACCUUGAAAGUAGGUUUGUUCAACCUUUAAUACCCUACGUGAUC